GACGAACGCUGGCGGCGUGCUUAACACAUGCAAGUCGAACGGAAAGGCCCUGCUUUUGUGGGGUGCUCGAGUGGCGAACGGGUGAGUAACACGUGAGUAACCUGCCCUUGACUUUGUGAUAACUUCAGGAAACUGGGGCUAAUACCGGAUAGGAGCUCCUGCUGCAUGGUGGGGGUUGGAAAGUUUCGGCGGUUGGGGAUGGACUCGCGGCUUAUCAGCUUGUUGGUGUGGUAGUGGCUUACCAAGGCUUUGACGGGUAGCCGGCCUGUGAGGGUGACCGGCCAAAUUGGGACUGAGAUACGGCCCAGACUCCUACGGGAGGCAGCAGUGGGGAAUAUUGCACAAUGGGCGGAAGCGUGAUGCAGCAACGCAGCGUGCGGGAUGACGGCAUUCGGGUUGUAAACCGCUUUCGCCUGUGACGAAGCGUGAGUGACGGUAAUGGGUAAAGAAGCACCGGCUAACUACGUG
rnacentral:rRNA from 1 species